rnacentral:misc_RNA from 1 species
UUCUCUCUCUCUCUCUCUCUGAGCCCGAGGACUUCCUCCUCAAAGUCCGACGUCAUUUUUGUUUACAAUGCAACUGCCAUAAGAGAAUUUAUUCUACUUACAUUCAUCUUCCACACGAUCAUCUCUCAACUAUUAGAAUUCUCACCACCAUCACCAUCAUCAUCACCCUUUGAAACUCAAGUGGACUCUGCUUUUCGUGAGAGCCUGAGGAGCUCGUAAAGGCUCUGACUUUUAUGUGGAAGUAGCUGCUUCUGAAUUCAAAAAUGAGAAGAAGAGUUAUAUCUGCAUGCCAACUUCUAUCAGCUUUUCAGUAUCAAGAAAACAAUUGCUCUGUUAAUUUGGUGAGAAGGCAACAACCCCUUUUGAUAGAUGCUAAUUGCACCACUUCUGUUUGUAGACCUAUCAGUUCUGCUGAUAAUGAGAGAUUUCUAUGCCCCAAACUUCUCAUCUCAAGAGCUCUGUCAACAGAAGCUGCUAAAUUUUCUAAACAAGAUGCGAACAGAGCAGGUCCGCUUGUAGAGUAUGAAAGAAGAAUCGCUGCUAGUGAGCUUGUGGAUGGUGAUAGCUGUCAGGUAGGCACCUUAAGGGAACUUCAAAGACUCUAUGAUGAGCUUGUUAAGUCAGCUGAUGCCUGUAAGUUGGAUCGCUAUUCUGCUUCUGACAAAUCUGGAAGGAGUAGGUGGUUGUGGUCUCGUUUCAUGCCACAAUCUUCACAUUCGCCGGUUGAAGGACUAUAUCUUUAUGGAGGAGUAGGCACUGGGAAGACUAUGUUGAUGGACUUAUUCUUUGACCAAUUGUAAGCUUGUCAUGUAGUUUUCAUUUGUUACAGACUCUGGCUUUAUUGAGAAUCAAAAGAAGCAAACAUAAAAUAGAACAUCAGUACGGUAAGAAUAGAAUAGUUUCAUCACAUACAGCUGGUUUUAUCAACUGACAUUUUUUUCUCAGGCCGUGGAACUGGAGGAAAAAGAGGAUUCAUUUUCAUGAUUUCAUGUUGAAUGUCCAUAGCCGCUUGCAGAAGCACAAGGGUGUGGCAGAUCCGCUUGAAGUUGUUGCGGGAGAAAUAUCUGACGAGGCAAUCUUAUUAUGUCUAGAUGAAUUCAUGGUAUACUAGUUGCAUAGCACUAGAUGCUUGUGAUUUUUUUUAUCAAACAAGUUCUCUAUUUUUGUGGCAAGAUGCUCAUGUAGGUACCUUUUACAGGUGACUGAUGUUGCAGAUGCAUUGAUAUUGAACCGUUUAUUCAGACAUCUAUUCAGCAAUGGCAUUGUAAGUCUACUUUGUGUUAUCUAUAAAUCUCUACAAUAUGAUUAAAUAUCUAUGUUUUCAGAUGAAAAUUAAAUUGGAAACUGGAACUUAUAUGCAUAUGCAUGAUGGAAGCAAGUGUAGAUUCUUGUGGCCACCUCAAAUCGUGCUCCUGAUAAUCUUUAUGAAGGUGGAUUGCAGAGAGAUCUUUUUCUACCAUUUAUUGCAACUUUGAAGGUGGUUGUAUACAUAUAGUCUUACUUUGGUUGUUAGACAGGAUUAUGCUGUGGUAAGAGUUGGUAUGCUUUUCUGAUAUUAUAGGCAAAUAAAGUUAACAUCUGGAUUAUAUUGUUGUAGGAAAGAUGUGUGGUUCAUGAAAUUGGUUCAUUAGUAGACUAUCGGAAGAUGACAUCGGUAAAGUUUUGAUAAUCUGUGUAGAUUAGUAAAAAGUUCACUUCUUACAUGCAUCAUAACUUGCUUGACAUCAAUGAAUACACGUGGUACGCAGGCUGAGCAAGGUUUCUACUUUGUUGGUAAAGAUUUAUCGGGCCUCCUUAAGCUAAAGUUUCAAGAAUUGGUUGGGGAGCAAACAGCUGGUCCCCAAGAGGUGGAAGUAGUAAUGGGAAGGACAUUGCAGGUUCCACUGGGUGCUGAUGGAUGUGCAUAUUUUUCCUUUGAGGAAUUGUGUGACAAGCCUCUUGGAGCUGCAGAUUAUUUUGGAUUGUUCAAGAACUUCCAUACCCUGGCAUUGGAAGGUGUCCCAAUCUUUGGACUUCACAACAGGACAGCAGCAUAUCGGUUUGUCACUUUGGUUGAUGUAAUGUAUGAGAACAGGGCCAGGCUAUUGUGUACAGCGGAGGGGAGUCCUCUAGAACUUUUUAGAAAGGUUGUUACAGUUUCUGAUGCAAAACAAAUGGCACCUAGAACCUCCACGAGAUCAAGGAGAAAUGAUGAUUCUGACCUCUGUGUAGACAAUGAACUGGGAUUUGCAAAAGACCGUACAAUUAGUAGAUUGACAGAGAUGAAUAGCAAAGAAUAUUUAGAGCAUCAUGCUGCCAUAUUAACUGAGAAGCAGCUCUUACAGGAAGAUGUUAAUGCAAACGCUGUGCUAGGGUGAGAUGGCAGGGAUCCGGUAUCAUUAACUAAAACAUAAUAAACUGAUGUCAUUGGUUAUACAAUUUGAGGUUCACUAACCUGAUCAUGGUUUUUUUGCCAAAUUGGGUAUAGUUUUCAUAAAAAAUCUCAAGUCAUAGUGAAUAAAAUGCAAUUUAUCAUCUGUAAAAUAUAAAUUCUAGCAGCUUGAUUGCAACAAAAAUUAUAUGCUGUCAGAUGGGUGAUUCCUGCUCUCAAUAAUGCUGUUGAAUUUAAAUCAGUCAUUGUUACAGGCCAGAGUUUCACCCUAAUGUAACAAAUAUGUAGCCUGGUUGUUGAAGUUAAUUAUAUGAGCCUUUUCCAUUUUUUUUGGUUCCAGGAUGGGCGGUUAUCUCCUGCUGUGAGAUCCGUGGUACGAUAAGCUCAUGCAUCUCCAAGCAAUUAUUUCCUCUGCUUUGGUCGAAAUGGAAAUAUAAAUUUCUUAAGCUUGUGCCUCAAUUUUUCUCAUUUUGUUUAAUAAGAAUGAAAAGCAGAUUACAGUUCUAAUGUCAUUUGUUUACAAGAUGUCUUGCAUCAGUAGCGUUAGCAUUUACUAAUUACAUGGAAAAAUGGACACUAAUUAGGAAAUUGGGAAGAGUGAUCUCAAUUAUGAUUUCAUAUUCGCUAUAAGUAGCUUGUGUAGGUUGGUUCAAAAUACUCUGUACUUCCAAGGGAGUAACUGUAGGGAACUUACUUUCUG